GCCUGCGGCUUAAUUUGACUCAACACGGGAAAACUUACCCGGCCCGGACACUGGGGGGAUUGACAGAUUGAGAGCUCUUUCUUGAUUCGGUGGAUGGUGGUGCAUGGCCGUUCUUAAGGACAGAAAGUUGAGCGAGUUGGUAACAGUCCAUAAUCAAAAGAAGAGGCGUGCAGGACACGGAC
rnacentral:rRNA from 1 species